UGGUUUGGCUCCUGCAGCUUGUACGAGAACAACAUCGGGGACGCGGGGGCGGAGCGCGUGGCCAAGGUGCUGCCCCAGAUGUGUGCCUUGCAGGUGCUGGACCUGCAGUACAACCAGAUUUCUGCCGCCGGAGCCCGGUGUCUGACGGAGCGCCUGAGAAGAUGCCCCCGCAUCCAGAGCUUGGCGCUGUGGAACCCCACAAUCCCUCACGGGGUUCUGGAUCACCUGCAGCAGCUGGAUUCUCGGAUCAGAAGGGUUUAGGGGCAGCCCCUGGCCGGUCGGUUCGGAUUCUG